UCCCCCAUAGUCAAAUGGCUAUGAUGUGACGCUCUCACCGUCAAGGUCGGGGUUCGAUUCCCCGUGGGGGAG
rfam:Monosiga brevicollis MX1 MONBRscaffold_13 genomic scaffold, whole genome shotgun sequence.